UACGUAGGGUGCGAGCGUUGCCCGGAUUUAUUGGGCGUAAAGGGCGCGUAGGCGGCCACGCACGUCCGUUGUGAAAUCGCCCGGCUCAACUGGGCGGGGUCGGCGGAUACGGCGUGGCUGGAGCAAGCUAGGGGGCAAUGGAAUUCCCGGCGUAGUGGUGGAAUGCGUAGAUAUCGGGAGGAACACCAGUGGCGAAGGCGGUUGCCUGGAGCUUUGCUGACGCUGAGGCGCGAAAGCGUGGGGAGCGAUCCGG
rnacentral:rRNA from 1 species